rnacentral:rRNA from 1 species
AAUGAACGCUGGCGGCAUGCCUUACACAUGCAAGUCGAACGGCAGCAUGACCUAGCUUGCUAGGUUGAUGGCGAGUGGCGAGCGGGUGAGUAAUGCAUCGGAACGUGCCUUUUAGUGGGGGAUAACGUAGCGAAAGUUACGCUAAUACCGCAUAUUCUCUGAGGAGGAAAGCAGGGGACCUUCGGGCCUUGCGCUAGAAGAGCGGCCGAUGUCGGAUUAGCUAGUUGGUGAGGUAAAGGCUCACCAAGGCAACGAUCCGUAGCGGGUCUGAGAGGAUGAUCCGCCACACUGGGACUGAGACACGGCCCAGACUCCUACGGGAGGCAGCAGUGGGGAAUUUUGGACAAUGGGCGCAAGCCUGAUCCAGCCAUGCCGCGUGAGUGAAGAAGGCCUUCGGGUUGUAAAGCUCUUUCGGCUGGGAAGAAAUCGCACCCUCUAAUACAGGGUGUGGAUGACGGUACCAGCAUAAGAAGCACCGGCUAACUACGUG